UCUUAAUUCAACAUCGAGGUCGCAAACUUUUUCAUUGAUAAGAACUCUCCGAAAAAAUUACGCUGUUAUCCCUAAGGUAAGUUAAUCUUAUAAAUCCAAAAUUCAGGAUCAAAAAAACAUAAAUUAAUGAAAAAGUAAUUAAAAGUUAAAUCAAUUUUAAUGUCACCCCAACAAAACUAAACAUUCUAAAAAAAUAAUAAAAAAACAAAAAACAAAAUUUUAUAAAUUUAGUAAACUUCUAUAGGGUCUUCUCGUCCUAUAAAAAAAUUUUAGCUUUUUAACUAAAAAAUUAAAUUCAAUUAAAUUAUAAGAAGAAAGUCUAUUUUUCAUCAAACCAUUCAUACCAGCCUUCAAUUAAAAGACAAAUGAUUAUGCUACCUUCGUACAGUUAAAAUACCGCAGCCUUUUAAUAAUUAAAAUCAAUGGGCAGGCCCGAUCUUAAAUUUAAUACAAAAGACCAUGUUUUUGUUAAACAGGCG
rnacentral:rRNA from 1 species